CAAUUGCAUGAACCUUUCUCUUCGAAACCCGUCUCAUCGCCUGAAAGAAUGCAAACACGUCGAAGAAUUGGGAGAGACUGGGAAGCAUGAAAUCCAACAAUUUUCUAAACUCCUUUCUCGCAUUUUCUUUGCGUAUAUCAGUUUUUUCGAUUCACCUAAUGACUCCGUAAUCAGAAAUUUUCGUUCGUAAAAACAUGAUUCUUUCAUUUCUCUACGGUUCUUCACCCAAAAUCCUAUCGAUUAUUCAUCAGAUCAUCAACUCCGGCCCCACUCCUUCUGCCGCUGCGACGUCUUCAUUGAUUGGAACUAGAUAGAUCGGUUGGGCUUUGAAGCUUCUCCUAAAGAAUCCAGUUAGAUCGAGAUGUACUUUGGAUUUGACACAACUCAUGUUGCUGCUAGAGAGCUUCUGAUUGUGUUUUGUCUCUGAGUGGGACUUCUACUGCCACUUUAAUUCAAGGAAAGUUCCUAAUAGUUCCGCUUCGACGGUUUCGACGAAUUAUUCGAAGAAUUUGACUUCUGGUUCUGGUUCUUGAGGUGGUUUGAGAAGCAGGUUCCUUCAAUUGCUGCUUCUUCUAUCUUUGUUCAUGUGGAGAGAAAAGUUUGUGCAAAGGCUUCUGAGUUGUUCAAAAGAGAUCAUAGUUAUGUGAGCAAGUCCAAGUCUACAUUUUAUCCGACGGGUAUGGAAUUGAACUGAAUUUUGCACCCAAAACCCAAAUAAUGGAUUCAUCCUUAAAAUCCACACCUGUUGCAGGUUUCCUCGGUAUGUGAUUUCGAAGAUGGAUAUGAUUUUAUGUAUCAAAACUUCACUUGUUUCAUGAACGGAGGAAGAAGAAGAAAAAGAUAUGUUGAGAUAAAUUCUAAGCUUUCUUGCCAACUCCAAUCCUUGUAGUAGCUCAUGUAUCAAACUCUUUGAAUCUCCCAUGAUAGAAUGAUUAGAACCAAAAAAGAAACAAAAGUGUUGGGAUUUGAGAAUGAAGGUGAGUUAUGUUAUGGGUUAAGGGAUAUAAGAGGGAUGUAUUAGAGAGGUCUAAAUUAUAAUUUGUUGACCUUUUCUUGCCGCGGAACAGACUUUGGAUUCUCAUUGACCCACCACAAUUAUUUAAUACCAUAAUGAUUAUGGUUUAACAAAUCAAAACGUGAACGGUUUAGAUCUUAAAUUGGGAGCAGUGAAAAGAAGGGUAAUGUAUUAAUUAGCUCAAGAUCGAUAAAGCUAGUACCAAUUUGGAAAGUCUUGAGAUUAAGACUAAUGAAUCUAUUGAUGAAUAUGAGAACCUUGUGGCUUUGGUAAUUGAUUUUUAUUUCUCAACAUAUAACCUUAUUAGUUAUACAAAGCUAAUUUAUGAUGAUCAAUCAGUAUGUCAGUUUGAUGAAGCUAUUGAUCAAGAAGGAGAUUCCCUAGAAGGUCUAAGAAAGUUGGUGGAUCCAAGGCUAGGAGAUGGCACAGCUUGCCAAGGAUUGCACAAAUCGAGAUCCAAAAGGGCGUCCAAGAAUGAGAGUUGUUGUGGUUUCUCUAAUGAAACUAAAUUAAAGUAAUGUAUCCAAUUCCUGCAUUGUUCAGUGUCCAAUUCCAUGGAUGACAUAGAAGAUGAUUCUUGCUGACCCACUUUUUGGUUAAAACCAUCUUGAACCAUGACUGAUAGCCUGUACCCGGUCGUUCCUUUAAAGCCAUAUACACCAAUGCUCAUAUUCGAAAGCUUCUUCGUAGGUUGAAAGCUCUGCCAGCAUCGACCGAUAGAAUUCAAUUUUGCUCUAGAGUGGAGAAAGAAUACCUCAAACCUUCUUACUCUGCCAGCAUCGGCGAGGAGCUUGAAGAUGGGUUAUUUGAUGCAUGUUGAGUUAUCUGGGGACCUUGAGGACCAGAAUCAACUCUUUCAACACAGUCAUCCGUUGGAGCUUGACUUAUUGAGGAAACCAUUUGUUGUAAACCUCCUUGCUGAGCCAUUUCUUUUGCAACAGGUUUUGGAAUAUAUCUCUCUAUUUCAGCCCUCUUAUUUUUUAAAUUAUGCACCUGCUGCUGAUCACUCUUUGCAGGAACAAUUGCCUCGAUUUUAACUGGCUAUUCAUUCUACCAUAGGAUUCUUCAUUCUCUACAAAUCUUUGGUCUGAAUACUGAUUUGAGUCUUUAGGCAAGGAUGAUGUCUGAAUUGAACCCUGGUCUAACUCAAUGUCUACCCUGGAUUUAUUUUCAAUAGAGGUUCUCGGAAGACCAGCUUCCUUUGGUAUUACCGAUGGUAAUGAAGCCAAGGACAAAGUCUC